rnacentral:sRNA from 1 species
GCCGGGCGUGGUGGUGCCUGUCUGUAAUCCCAGCAGCUUGAAGGCUGAGACAGGAGGAUUGAAAGUUCAUAGCCAGCCUCAGCAAUAGUGAGGCACUAAGCAACUCAGUGAGACCCUGUCUCAA